AGUGAACGCUGGCGGUAGGCCUAACACAUGCAAGUCGAACGGCAGCACAGUAAGAGCUUGCUCUUACGGGUGGCGAGUGGCGGACGGGUGAGGAAUACAUCGGAAUCUACUUUUUCGUGGGGGAUAACGUAGGGAAACUUACGCUAAUACCGCAUACGACCUACGGGUGAAAGCAGGGGAUCUUCGGACCUUGCGCGAUUGAAUGAGCCGAGGUCGGAUUAGCUAGUUGGCGGGGUAAAGGCCCACCAAGGCGACGAUCCGUAGCUGGUCUGAGGGGAUGAUCAGCCACACUGGAACUGAGACACGGUCCAGACUCCUACGGGAGGCAGCAGUGGGGAAUAUUGGACAAUGGGCGCAAGCCUGAUCCAGCCAUACCGCGUGGGUGAAGAAGGCCUUCGGGUUGUAAAGCCCUUUUGUUGGGAAAGAAAAGCAGCAGGUUAAUACCCCGCUGUUCUGACGGUACCCAAAGAAUAAGCACCGGCUAACUUCGUG
rnacentral:rRNA from 1 species